CGGCCUGCCCGCGCGGUGGGGCGGGGAGUGAGGAGCCGGGCUCAGGAGGGGAGGGCGUCUCUGGGCGUAGGGCUGAGCCAGAGCGGGUGCCCCUUUUCCUGUCCCCUCACCGAGCCUGGUGAUGGGUGACCGGGUCCGCCGGCCCGGUGGCCCCAGGCCGUCCAAGCACAGCAGCGCUUCCUCCACUCCAAAGCGUGGCCUACGGCGGGGUUGUUCCUGGCGGUCAGAGCGGCUGCCCCAUGCCAAACUGCGGAGACACGGUUCAGCGUGGACCCACCCCGCGUCUCGCGUGCAAACUCCAGCCCCUGAUGCACCCUUGGUUGCCAGUUCCCCUGGAGUGAGGGGACGGGGGAGACGUGAAGCGGCAGUGUGCCUGACUUCAGCGGUGGAGGAUUCCGUCUGCAAGAACAAGCUUCCUGCUCUGACCCACAAUACAGCGGCCCACUUGCCCUGGCAGCCCUUGCAUCUGGCCAACCUCCCCUGCAUCAGGACUCCCAGUGACCCUCAGUGGCCUCUGAUCAGUGAUCGCAUCACUGACCCUGACCAAGGACUCAUCAGCAACCUUGACAAAUGUCCAAAAUAAUGACCAGUGACGUGAACAAUUCUGGUAUUGGCACCAGGCUUCCGGCCACUCCAGCUGCUGCCCAGACUUGGCCAGGGCCGCGGUCUCCUCCAGAUUCAUGCUUCGCCAGAUGGCCAAGAGCAUGGCCCCUCGGCAUGGGUAAGGUGGUGUAGACAGCACAAAGGGGGCGUUCCCACAGCAAUGGGUUAUCCUCAGUGUCAGUGACAGUGGUGGGGCGCUGUGGCGUCCCUGGGGGCAGGCGGUCUCUGGGCCUGACCUCUGGGUCGGGGUCAGGGGCAGCCAGCCGUCCCCACGCACGGAUGUGUGCGCCCUGCGCGUCCGGUCCAGCACAGCGCGCACGAAGCCUCUGAGGUACCCUUGCUUCAGGCUGAUCAGCCCCGGCAGCUGCUUGGGCUCUGGUUCCCGCCCCGGGAGAGAUCAGCAGGUGCGACAGGGGUAGGUGGGGCCGCCACCACUCCGGGCUGCGACACACAUCUGGAACCUGUCGCCGUCCUGUGUCCGUGUCACUGAGGCGAAGUGCCCUUGUCCCGACCCCAUUCUCGUUUCUCUCCCGUGUCCGCCCCUCAGUCCCGUGUCUGUGUCGCCCGUGUGCAUGUCUCCGUGUCUGGCUCUCACGUCUCGGUCUCACAACUUGAUCCGGGGCCGUACCUGUCCUGCACAGCGGCGCUCGCCGGUCCUCUUCGGAUCCCAGCCGGUUUCCGUUCCGUCUUGCGGGAGGCCACAGGGUGGGAACAGUGGGACUGCGCGCCUGGCCGGAGCCGCGGAGGGGCGGGGCCUCCCGACAGGCAGGGUUUUAGGCCAAUCGCCGCCUCGGAGGGGCAGGACGACCCGGCUCACUUCUGUCCUGGCCAAUCACGAGGGCCUGCGGGAGCUUGAGAAGUCCGGGACUUCGCGGGCCCGCCCACCUGUCCGUUUUGCCCGCCUGCCUCGCCGCAAGCACAGAGAGGCCGACAGGCUGCUGGAUCCAGAGAUUUUAAGAAACAUUCGUGGGGCCGCGCCCGGCCGGCUGGUCAGUCAUCCACGUCGAUCACCAUCGGGGCCAGGUAGUCCGAGUGCCGGAUCCCGAAGCUCCAGCCGCGAGGCUUCCGGUGCUGCGGACCCAGGAGACGUCGCUGGCCUGGCGCUGCCAGCCGGCCCAGGGCUCCCGGGUCCCAACCUCGCACCUCAGACCCUCGAUCCAGACCCGGACCCCUUUACCCCGCCUCUGACCCUUGACUCUGAACUGCAGAGCACCUGGUCCACGUUGUAGGCUGCAGGCCCGGGAUUCAGGCUGUUGCCUUGGGGGAGCGAAGUCCGCGCCAGCAUCGAGAACUGGGGGGCCCGGGGCUUGUAGAUCCCAGGGCUCACCACAUGGUAGGCGCAGGGCCCGGGGGUCUGCGGGAGGGCGGGAGGGGCGCUGUGUCCGGCUUCCAGGACCGUCGACCGCUGACCCCUCGCCGCGCGGUGCGGGCAGCCCCUUCCCCACCUUACUGAGGUCCUCGCAGACGCUGCCCACCGCGCUGCGGCCGUAGAUGGAGUAAAUCGGCGCCGAGACUUUACCGACGACGCGCGGGCCCAGGAGCGAGGGCACAGUGUAGGUCCCGGGGCCUGGGGGAGCCAGCGAGGGUGGGUCUUUGAGGACCGGCCGGUCUGCCCGCCGCAGGCAGUGCAGGGUGGGCCUUCCUGGGCUCACCUGGGGUCUGCGACUCUGCGCGGAGGCCCCAGUUUCGGGGAGCGAUGGUGUGCCGAGGCGCGCUGGGGUACGCCGCCUUCUCCGCUCGCUCCGGGAAGUACCUGCCUGCGGGGCGGACCGGGGUGUGGGCCGGAACUGCACUGGGGGCCUGGUGGGUGCCCGGGCUGGAGUCCAGGGAUUAGGGGGAAUUCGAACCACGAUUUGUCAAAGCCUGGUGAGGCUUGGAGCUCUUUUGAGCUCCGGAGAUGGGGGGACCGAAUUUGGAGUGUUAGGGUGCCCGAGGGGGACUCGGGCUCAGUGGGGGUGUUCCCGAGUGGGCGUCCCUGGAGGCGGCUCGGCGUUGGGGAGGCCGGGGUCCCAGGGUCCUGACCCGGUCCGGGAGUGAGGAAGGGCGCUGCGUGGCGCGGGCGGCCGAAGAUGGAGUAGGCGGGAGCGCCGUCGCGGCCGCGCACUGUCAUGCGAGCGGGCACCAGGUGACCUGGCCCUGGGCCGCACGAAGUCUGCUGCGUGGGGAGGCGUGCGCCGAAGGUGAAGGCGGGGGCGCGGGGCCGCGACGGGUCGUGCAGGAUGUAACCUGCGGGGCGCCCCAGCAUCACCAGGGUUAGGGUUAGCCCCUGUGUGCCCCCCUCCCCCGGCCCACCGCUGGUACCAGUGCUGGCUGGCAGCUUGUACUUGGGCCCCGGGCCGCUGUAGAGCGCUGCGAUGGGGCCGCGGGGCCGGUGCGGCCGCCACGGGCCGACCCAGACUUCCGAGCCCAUGGUACGGUGGGAGCGCUUGCUGCCGGCAACACCUGCGGACACCAGGUGGCGGCCCCGGCCCCCCCACCCUGACUCGCGAGGCCGCACUCCCUAUCCCCUCCAGACAGGCCGGACUCCGGGGCGGGGCCCGCGCCUAUCCCACGUACCAGGGAAACAAACGGUAGCUUUCCCAGCUCCAGAGAGGCGCGGGUCAGGGACAGAGCUUCGAGGCCGUCUCUUGUCCCCCACCCCCAAAAUGAGUUCAGUGGAGGUGUGUGUGCGCGCUCCAAGUUUGGACUCAACACUGCGGGAGAGGAAUUCCCCGGGGUUCUGGAGAACUGGGAUAUUUUAGGGAUAUUUGGGGGAGGAUACCGGGGCGAGGGAGCGGCGUGGGGGACCUGGUGCCGGAGGGGGGCCCCCGAAGUUGAUGCACUGACCUGCUCCUGUGUCUCCUGGCUGGGAAGGUAGGGUUGGGUGUCUGGAUUUCUGCCCCUGCCCGGCCCAGCUCCCAGACCCCAUUGUGUCUAGGUCGCGCCUCCAGGCAACCAGACUGACCGUCCCACCUGGCUCCGCCCCUCCCCUCUCCCUGCCUCUCCUCCUUGGAGUCCAUGGCAAUGGCAGGCGUCCUGCAGGCUGUGCCACAGACCAGAACUCUGUCCUCACCCUUCCCCAGGCUUCAGUACACCCAUUCCAGAAAUGGACAGAUAUGCAGACAAAAAACAAGUGCGAGAAUAAAGAAAUCAAGCUUAAUUUAAUUGUUAUGUGUAGGGGAGAGAACUUUGCAUCUAUUUAAACCCAUGGAAUAUUUGCAGAAAAUAAUCAUGUACUGGGCCACAAGAACGUCCGUACAAUUAGCAGAUGUAAACUAUUAUAUAUAGGAUGGAUAAACAACAAGGUUCUACCGUAUAGCACAGGGAACUACAUUCAAUAUCCUGUGAUAAACCAUAUUGGAAAAGAAUAUGAAAAAAAAGAGUGUGUGUGUGUAUAACUGAGUCACUGCUGCACAGCAGAGACUGACACAACAUUGCAACUCAACUCUACUUCAACUUUAGAAAGACGCCCAUACGAGUUGAAUAAAGAGAUAUAAUAGGACACAUGAUUGAUCACAAUUCAAAAUAAUUCUUAGCAAACAGUAAAAUGUGGGUUUUUUUGAAUUUUAUUUAUUUUUUUAAUGCAGCAGGUUCUUAUUAGUCAUCCAUUUUAUACACAUCAGUGUAUACAUGUUAAUCCCAAUCUCCCGAUUCAUCCCACCGCCACCCCACCCCACCGCUGCUUUCCCCCCUUGGUGUCCAUACGUUUGUUCUCUACAUCCGUGUCUCUAUUUCUGCCCUGCAAACCGGUUCAUCUGUACCAUUUUUCUAGGUUCCACAUAUAUGCGUUAAUAUACGAUAUUUGAUUUUCUCUUUCUGAUUUACUUCACUCUGUAUGACAGUCUCUAGAUUCAUCCACGUCUCUACAAAUGACCCAAUUUCGUUCCUUUUUAUGGCUGAGUAAUAUUCCAUUGAAUAUAUGUGCCACAUCUUCUUUAUCCAUUCGUCUGUCGAUGGGCAUUUAGGUUGCUUCCAUGACCUGGCUGUUGUAAAUAGUGCUGCAAUGAAUAUUGGGGUGCAUGUGUCUUUUUGAAUUAUGGUUUUCUCAGGGUAUAUGCCCAGUAGUGGGAUUGCUGGAUCAUAUGGUAAUUCUAUUUUUAGUUUUUUAAGGAACCUCCAUACUGUUCUCCAUAGUGGCUGUAUCAAUUUACAUUCCCACCAACAGUGCAAGAGGGCUCCCUUUUCUCCACACCCUCUCCAGCAUUUGUAGUUUGUAGAUUUUCUGAUGAUGCCCGUUCUAACUGAUGUGAGUUGAUACCUCACUGUAGUUUUGAUUUGCAUUUCUCUAAUAAUUAGUGAUGUUGAGCAGCUUUUCAUGUGCUUCUUGGCCAUCUGUAUGUCUUCUUUGGAGAAAUGUCUAUUUAGGUCUUCUGCCCAUUUUUGGAUUGGGUUGUUUGUUUUUUUAAUAUUGAGCUGCACAAGCUGUUCAUAUAUUUUGGAGAUUAAUCCUUUGUCCGUUGAUUCGUUUGCAAAUAUUUUCUCCCAUUCUGAGGGCUGUCUUUUCGUCUUGUUUAUGGUUGCCUUUGCUGUGCAAACGCUUUUAAGUUUCAUUAGGUACGAUUUGUUUAUUUUUGUUUUUAUUUCCAUUACUCUAGGAGGUGUAUCAAAAAAGAUCUUGCUGUGAUUUAUUUCAAAGGGUGCUCUUCCUCUAUUUUCCUCUUAGAUUUUUAUAGUGUCCAGUCUUACAUUUAGGUCUCUAAUCCAUUUUGAAUUUAUUUUGUGUAUGGUGUUAGGGAGUGUUCCAAUUUCAUUCUUUUACAUAUAGCUUUCCAGUUUUCCCAGCACCACUUAUUGAAGAGACUGUCUUUUCUCCAUUGUACAUCUUUGCCUCCUUUGUCAUAGAUUAGGUGACCAUAAGUGCGUGGGUUUAUUGCUGGGCUUUCUAUCUUGUUUCAUUGAUCUAUAUUUCUGUUUUUGUGCCAGUGCCAUACUGUUUUGAUUACUGUAGCUUUGUAGUAUUGUCUGAAGUCAGGGAAUCUCAUUCUUCCAGCUCCGCUUUUUUCCCUCAAGACUGCUUUGGCUGUUUGGGGUCUUUUGUGUCUCCAUACAAAUUUUAAGAUUUUUGGUUCUAGUUCUGUAAAAAAUACCAUUGGUAAUUUAAUAGGGAUUGCAUUGAAUCUGUAGAUUGCUUUGUGUAGUAUAGUCAUUUUCACAAUAUUGAUUCUUCCAAUCCAAGAACAUGAUAUAUCUCUCCAUCUGUUGGUAUCAUCUUUGAUUUCUUUCAUCAGUGUCUUAUAGUUUUCUGCAUACAGGUCUUUUGUCUCCCUAGGUAGGUUUAUUCCUAGGUAUUUUAUUCUUUUUGUUGCAAUGGUAAAUGGGAGUGUUUCCUUAAUUUCUCUUUCAGAUUUUUCGUCAUUAGUAUAUAGGAAUGCAAGAGAUUUCUGUGCAUUAAUUUUGUAUCCUGCAACUUUACCCAAUUCAUUGAUUAGCUCUAGUAGUUUUCUGGUGGCAUCUGUAGGAUUCUCUAUUUAGAGUAUCAUGUCAUCUGAAAACAGUGGCAGUUUUACUUCUUUUCCAAUUUGUAUUCCUUUUAUUUCUUUUUCUUCUCUGAUUGCCGUGGCUAGGACUUCCAAGACUAUGUUGAAUAAUAGUGGUGAGAAUGGACAUCCUUGUCUUGUUCCUGAUCUUAGAGGAAAUGCUUUCAGUUUUUCACCAUUGAGAAUGAUGUUUGCUGUGGGUUUGUUGUAUAUGGCCUUUAUUAUGUUGAGGUAGGUUCCCUCUAUGCCUACUUUCUGGAGAGUUUUUAUCAUAAAUGGGUGUUGAAUUUUGUCAAAAGCUUUUUCUGCAUCUAUUGAGAUGAUCAUAUGGUUUUUAUUCUUCAGGUUGUUAAUAUGGUGUAUCACGUUGAUUGAGUGCAUAUAUCGAAGAAUCCUUGCAUCCCUGGGAUAAAUCCCACUUGAUCAUGGUGUAUGAUCCUCUUAAUGUGCUGUUGGAUUCUGUUUGCUGGUAUUUUGUUGAGGAGUUUUGCAUCUAUAUUCAUCAGUGAUAUUGGUCUGUAAUUUUCUUUUUUUGUAGUGUCUUUGUCUGGUUUUGGUGUCAGGGUGAUGUUGGCCUCAUAGAAUGAGUUUUGGAGUGUUCCUUCCUCUGAAAAUUUUUGGAAGAGUUUGAGAAGGAUGGGUGUUAGCUCUUCUCUAAAUGUUUGAUAGAAUUCACCUGUGAAGCCAUCUGGUCCUGGACUUUUGUUUGUUGGAAGAUUUUUUUUUUUUUGCAGUACGCGGCCCUCUCACUGUUGUGGCCUCUCCCAUUGCGGAGCACAGGCUCCGGAUGCGGAGGCUCAUGGGCCCAGCCGCUCCGCAGCACGUGGGAUCCUCCCGGACCGGGGCACGAACCCGUGUCCCCUGCAUCGGCAGGUGACUCUCAGCCACUGUGCCACCAGGGAAGCCCCCUGUUGGAAGAUUUUUAAUCACAGUUUCAAUUUCAUUACUUGUGAUUGGUCUGUUCAUAUUUUCUAUUUCUUCCUGGUUCAGUCUUGGGAGGUUGUACCUUUCUAAGAAUUUGUCCAUUUCUUCCAGGUUGUCCAUUUUGUUGGCAUAGAUUUGCUUGUAGCAGUCCCUUAGGGUUCUUUGUAUUUCUGCAGUGUCUGUUGUAACUUCUCCGUUUUCAUUUCUAAUUUUAUUGAUUUGAGUCCUCUCCCUCUUUUUCUUGAUGAGUCUGACUAAUGGUUUAUCAGUUUUGUUUAUCUUCUCACAAAACCAGCUUUUAGUUUUAUUUAUCUUUGCUGUUGUUUUCUUUGUUUCUAUUUCAUUUAUUUCUGCUCUGAUUUUUAUGAUUUCUUUCCUUCUGCUAACUUUGGGUUUUGUUUGUUCUUCUUUCUCUAGUUGCUUUAGGUGUAAGGUUAGAUUGUUUGAGAUUUUUCUUGUUUCUUGAGGUAGGCUUGUAUAGCUAUAAACUUCCCUCUUAGAACUGCUUUUGCUGCAUCCCAUAGGUUUUGGAUCAUCGUGUUUUCAUUGUCAUUUGUCUCUAGGUAUUUUUUUAUUUCCUGUUUGGUUUCCCCAGUGAUCUCUUGGUUAUUUAGUAACGUAUUGUUUAGCCUCAGUGUGUUUGUGUUUUUUACAUUUUUUUCCCUGUAAUUCAUUUCUAAUCUCAUAGCGUUGUGGUCAGAAAAGAUGCUUGAUAUGAUUUCAGUUUUCUUAAAUUUACUGAGGCUUGAUUUGUGACCCAAGAUGUGAUCUAUCCUGGAGAAUGUUCCGUGCACACUUGAGAAGAAAGUGUAAUCUGCUGUUUUUGGAUGGAAUGUCCUAUAAAUAUCAAUGAAAUCUAUCUGGUCUAUUGUGUCAUUUAAAGCUUGUGUUUCCUUAUUGAUUUUCUGUUUGGAUGAUCUGUCCAUUGGUGUAAGUGAGGUGUUAAAGUCCCCCACUAUUAUUGUGUUACUGUCGAUUUCCUCUUUUAUAGCUGUUAGCAGUUGCCUUAUGUAUUGAGGUGCUCCUAUGUUGGGUGCACAUAUAUUUAUAAUUGUUAUAUCUUCUUGGUUUGAUCCCUUGAUCAUUAUGUAGUGCCCUUCCUUGUCUCUUGUAACAUUCUUUAUUUUAAAGUCUAUUUUAUCUGAUAUGAGUAUUGCUACUCCCGCUUUCUUUUGAUUUCCAUUUGCAUGGAAUAACUUUUUCUGUCCCCUCACUUUCAGUCUGUAUGUGUCCCUAGGUCUGAAGUGGGUCUCAAGACAGCAUAUAUAUGGGUCUUGUUUUUGUAUCCAUUCAGUGAGCCUGUGUCUUUUGGUUGGAGCAUUUAAUCCAUUCACCUUUAAGGUAAUUAUCGAUAUGUAUGUUCCUAUUACCAUUUUCUUAGUUGUUUUGUGUUUGUUUUUGUAGGUCCUUUUGUUCUCUAGUGUUUCCCACUUAGAGAAGUUCCUUUAGCAUUUGUUGUAGAGCUGGUUUGGUGGUGCUGAAUUCUCUUAGUUUUUGCUUGUCUGUAAAGCUUUUGAUUUCUCCAUCGAAUCUGAAUGAGAUCCUUGCCGGGUAGAGUGAUCUUGGUUGUAGGUUCCUUCCUUUCAUCACUUUAAGUAUAUCAUGCCACUUCCUUCUGGCUUGUAGAGUUUCUGCUGAGAAAUCAGCUGUUAACCUUAUGGGAGUUCCCUUGUAUGUGAUUUGUCAUUUUUCCCUUGCUGCUUUCAAUAAUUUUUCUUUGUCUUUAAUUUUUGCCAAUUUGAUUACUAUGUGUCUUGGCGUGUUUUUCCUUGGGUUUAUCCUGUAUGGGACUCUCUGUGCUUCCUGGACUUGGGUGGCUAUUUCCUUUCCCAUGUUAGGGAAUUUUUCAACUAAAAUCUCUUCAAAUAUUUUCUCGGGUCCUUUCUCUCUCUCUUCUCUUUCUGGGACCCUAUAAUGCGAAUGUUGUUGCGUUUAAUGUUGUCCCAGAGGUCUCUUAGGCUGUCUUCAUUUCUUUUCUCUCUUUUUUCUUUAUUCUGUUCCGCAGCAGUGAAUUCACUGGUCUGUCUUCCCGGUCACUUAUCCAUUCUUCUGCCUCAGUUAUUCUGCUAUUGAUUGUUUCUAGUGUAGUUUUCAUUUCAGUUAUUGUAUUGUUCAUCUCUCUUUGUUUGUUCUUUAGUUCUUCUGGGUCUUUGUUAAACAUUUCUUGCAUCUUCUCGAUCUUUGCCUCCAUUCUUUUUCCGAGGUCCUGGAUCAUCUUCACUAUCAUUAUUCUGAAUUCUUUUUCUGGCAGGUUGCCUAUCUCCACUUCAUUUAGUUGUUUUUCUGGGGUUUUAUCUUGUUCCUUCAUCUGGUACCUAGCCCUCUGCCUUUCAUCUUGUCUGUCUUUCUGUGAAUGUGGUUUUCCUUCCACAGGCUGCAGGAUUGUAGUUCUUCUUGCUUCUGCUGUCUGCCCUCUGGUGGAUGAGGCUAUCUCUAAAAUGUUUUUUUAAAAGGGUUAAAUACUUAGAAACUAACAAAUUCUCUUUUAAAACCAGCAACCACUGAGGUAGAAGAAAAACAAAGGGUAGGGGCACUAUGAAGGCUGAGAGCGCAUUUCAGGAAGCUGUUGGGUCUCUGUUUAAUAUUCUUGAGAAGCUGAGGAAGGCCAGUUUCUUGAGGCUAAUGAAAUGGGACUGCUCAUGAGGAAAACAGCUAAAGUCCCAAGUUAAAAAUGAUGAGAAGACACAAGUGCAGCCUGCACACAGACAUGCUAAAGUAUACAACUAUACUUCAAUUUAAUUUUUUUAAAUAAAUAAAAUUCUUUUGUUUCCCUCUGAAAGAUACCCCCAAGUGUAAUUCCUGCAUCAUAUGUUCUACUUUUAAUUUCUCGAGGAACCUCCAUACUGUUUUCCAUACUGGCUGUGCCAGUUUACAUUCCCACCAAUAGUGCAUGAGGGUUCCAUUUUCUCCACAUCCUCACCAACACUCGUUAUUUCUUGUCUUUUUUAAAAACAUCUUCAUUGGAGUCUAAUUGCUUUACAAUGGUGUGUUAGUUUCUGCUGUAUAACUGUUGUCUUUUUGAUACAGUCAUUCUGAUAGGUGUGAGGUGAUAGUGUGGUUUUGAUUUGCAUUUCCCUGAUGAUUAAUCAUGUUGAGUGUCUUUUCAGGUGCCUGUCGGCCAUCGUAUGACUUUUUCGGGGGAAAAUAUUUAUUCAGUACUUUUGCACAUUUUUUCAUUUUUCUUUUCUUUUUUAAUUUUUAUUUUUUUAUUUAAAAAAUAGUUAUUUAUUGGCUGCGUCAGGUAUUAGUUGCGGCGCGCAGGAUCUUUUGUUGCGGUGCAUGGGCUCUUCGUUGUUGUCGUGGGCUUCUCUCUAGUUGUGGCACUCAGGCUUAGUUGCCUUGUGGCAUGUGGGAUCUUAGUUCCCCGAUGCAUUGUAAGGCAGAUUCUUAACCACUGGACCACCAGGGUAUUCCCUAGGUCCAUCCAUGUUGCUGCAAGUGGCGUUAUUUCAUUCAUUUUUAUGGCUGGGUAAUAUUCCAUUGUAUAAAUAUACGACAUCUUCUUUACCCAUUCCUCUGUCGAUGGACAUUUAGGUAGCUUCCAUGUCUUGGCUAUUGUAAAUACUGCUGCUAUGAACACUAGGGUGCAUGUGUCUUUUUGAAAUAGAGUUUUCUCCAGAUAUAUGCCCAGUAGUGGGAUUGCAGGAUCAUAUGGUAGUUCUAUUUUUAGUUUUUUAAGGAACUUCCGUACUGUUUUCCACAGUGGCUGCACCAAUUUACAUUCCCACCAACAGUGCAAGAGGGUUCCCUUUUCUCCACACCCUCUCCAGCAUUUAUUACUUGUAGACUUUUUGAUGAUGGCCAUCCUGACCAAUGUCUGUUGCACUUCUCUACACUAACAAUGAACUAUCAGAAAGAGAAAUUAAGGAAACAGUCCCAUUUACCAUUGCAUCAAAGGGAAUAAAAUACCUAGGAAUAAACCUCCCUAAGGAGGCAAAAGACUGUACUCUGAGAACUAUAAGACACUGAUGAAAGAAACUGAAGUUGACAGAAACAGACAGAAAGAUAUACUGUGUUCUUGGAUUGGAAGAAUCAAUAUUGUGAAAAUGACUACACUACCCAAAGCAAUCUGCAGAUUCAAUGCAAUCCCUAUCAAAUUACCAAUGGAAUUUUUUUUUUCCAGAACUAGAACAAAAAAAUUUUAAAUUUGUGUGGAAACACAUGUUCUCUUCAUCAUUCCCAUAUUGUUGAAUGCUUAUGUGUUUUAAUUUUUUCCACUUUAAAUCACAUUGUAUUGUUUGUCUUUUUUUUUUUUUAAUUAUUUAUUUAUUUAUUUUUGGCUGCGUUGGGUCUCCGUUGCUAAGCCCGGGCUUUCUCUAGCUGCGGUGAGCGGGGGCUACUCUUCGUUGCAGUGCGCGGGCUUCUCAUUGCAGUGGCUUCUCUUGUUGCAGAGCACAGGCUGUAGGCGCAUGGGCUUCAGUAGUUGCGGCACGCAUGCUCAGCAGUUGUGGCUCGCGGGCUCUAGAGCACAGGCUCAGUAGUUGUGGCUCACGGGCUUAGUUGCUCUGCGGCAUGUGGGAUCUUCCCGGACCGGGGCACGAACCCGUGUCCCCUGCAUUGGCAGGCGGAUUCUCAACCACUGUGCCACCAGGGAAGCCCUGUUUGUCUUUUUUAAAUAACUUUUUUCUGCAUAAACCUUUCCCCACCUCUGAUGGAUUCCUUAAAAGGUAUCCCCUGUUGGGUAUACCUAUAUAACUAUUAAACCUGAGAUUUAUAUUUUCUAAGGCUUAAACAGCAUUCUAGAUUUAUUUAUACAUAUAUAAAAGUACAUAUAUACUUUUAACAUAAACAUGAUUAUAUAAUAUUAUAUUCUUUGUUUUAUAUCAUUUCUGAUUAUGCAAUCUUUCUUGCCUUUAAAAAAUUCCAAUAAUAGAAAAACCCUACAUUUAGUGGAGUUUGCAGCUCUCUACCACCUUUUUUUCUUUUUUUUUUUUUUGCGGUACGCGGGCCUCUCACUGCUGUGGCCUCUCCCGUUGCAGAGCACAGGCUCCGGACGCGCAGGCUCAGCGGCCAUGGCUCACGGGCCCAGCCGCUCCGCGGCACGUGGGAUCCUCCCGGACCGGGGCACGAACCCGCGUCCCCUGCAUCGGCAGGCGGACUCCCAACCACUGCGCCAUCUUAUUUAUAUUAGCUGUCCAUUUGUAUUUAGCUCUCCAUGUGGAAUCAUGUCUUCAUCGCACUAGGCUUUUCCUCCACCAAAUGCUUCAGAAAGGCACCAUGGGAGCUAGUGUAGCUGGGGCUUGGUGACCAGUUAGUGAGGGUCUUCCUGUGGGUGCUGCAGUGGAUCAGCUCAUGUGGAUGGAUUUCCCCACCUCCCGGGCUCCCAGCUGCAUUGGUCGUGGUUGCUGGCAAGCAGGUGACUGCCUCCAUUCCUGUUUUGCUUGUGUUGUCUCUGAGGAAACAGGAUCUCUGGGUCCAUAGGCCCAAAUCCCUCUAUUCCUUGGAGGGACUGGGACAGGGGUCCUGCCUCAGCAGGCAACUGGAAAUGGAGCUCUGAGGAGGCUGCUACAGGUCAGACUUUCCUGGGACCCAUAUUUUGAUCUUUAUUUUUACCUCAAUGGGAAUCUGUGAUAUUUAUGCCAUCAGAGCACAACCAGAACCAUUACUCAUGUUUCACAAUUUCUGUGGGUGAUCCUGUGUGCUUCUGAAGUUCUGUCACCUUUUCAGCAGUGCCACAUUUUUACUCUCUAUGGAAAGAGGGCAAACCUCCCACUAUUUUGGGCGGUAACGUGUCUCCAGUCACCUUCCCAGUAGGGAGCUGCUCCACGAAGGGCAGGGUUUGCCCUUGACAAAGUCAAGGGUUUUGACAAAGUCAGGUGUUUCCCUUCCACAGAGGAGGGGACUAGACCCUUCCUUGGUCACCUGUGUGUCUCUAGGACCUGUCACGGUCCUCAGCACCUUGUGAAGUUGGUGUCCUAAGGUACCCCUAGUGGACACGUGUUCUCUGGCCGCAGCCUGGUGCUCAGACCGACGACAGGGGUCUUCAGGUACUGGGUGGAGAUGCGUGGUGGACACCACAUGGCCGAUACAGAGGUGCAGACGAUGGUGUCAUCUCCAUCCUCUCAAGGUUGUUGGACCCCAAACUUAACCAAGAGGCAGAGCCUGGGACCAGGACAGAGAAUAAGGGCGGCAUCCAGAAAGCCUGCCACCAGCUUGAGGUCCACCUUAAGGCAGGGCCCCCUUCCAUCCUUCCUCUUACUGUCACUUAAUACGCUCGGGGAGGGGGGAGGCUGGGAGGGGACAGGUGGGUGAGAUACCUGAGGCUCAGCAGAACCCAGGCUGGGUGCCAGGGACAUGCCUUGGCCAUCUCGCUGCCUGAGUCAGGGAGAGUCCUCUGUCCCUGAAGAAGGAACAAGUACAUGUCGUGGGGGCCUGCCUUUGUCCCAGGAGCUCCAGGCUCUUUUUCAUGUCUGGGUCCCACAUGGCACCUGUCCUGACACUUACUCCUCGGCUUAAGAUGGAGGAGACAAGGCUUGUCCCCUGAGAAGCCAAGUGCUGCAGGGCACCUACACGCCGGCCUGUGAGGGGCCUGAGUCCUGGCGAGGAGGGAGGGGGUGGACGAGGGAAGGCUGAGGCCUGAGAUGAGGCACCAGAAGUCAGACUGAUAGAGCCCCUGGGCCAGAGGAGGGUUUGUGAAGUCUCCCAGGGCUGAGUGGUGAUGGGAGAUGGAGCUGGCGGGGGCUCAGGGUUCUCCACUGCGUGAGAGUGGCGUUUGGCAGUCAAGAUGGCCCAGAGGGAGGCCCAAGGGCUCUAGAAGGUUGUGAUAAACCAGGCCAAUAAAGAGGAAAACACAACUUUUGGAUUUUCUUUACUUUGUUCACUCUUUAUUAGUGAUCGCUUAAAAAUUCCUUUUGACAACCAUCCCAUCUCUGCUGAACUCAGGGUACGGAGAGUCCAGAGGCUGCUGGAGGAGGGGAAGGGAGAGUCGGCCUUGGGCCCCCCCAAGCACCUGCGUAUCUGGGAGGGAGAAGCGCCAGCCUCUGCUUCACACCUGUGCACCUUCCCGGCAGCCCAUCUGUGUGCUGGG